rnacentral:lncRNA from 1 species
GAGAGAGAGAGAGAGAGAGAGAGAGAGAGAGAGAGAGAGAGAGAGAGAGAGAGAGAGGGAGGUAGUAGAAAAGCAAAGCCACACACUUUGAUAAGGCUGAGCAAGAUUCGCCUAAAAUGGAUUGACUAACCUAAUAGUAGGGCGACAUCGCAUAGAAAGAAGAGACAUAAAAAAAGAACACAAUGACAUGUGAGGGCGAAAAGGUAAAACCGUCACAUUAUUGUUCAUGAGGACUUAAACGUUUUAGUAUAUAUAGAGAAGAAUUGUAAAAGAUUUUAGAGUUGAUGAACUAAAGUUAUUUUUGACGAAUCAACCAAAAAAAUAUCAUUAAUUUAAACAAUUAUUCAUACUUCAAAAGUUGUUAUUCCUAUGUUUAAAAUCAUGGAAUGAGUCGUCGGUGAGCCGUGGCGUGGUUGGUUAAGGUGGUUAACUAACAACUUUGACGUCAUGGGUUCAAAUCUCAUUGACAUAUGACAUAUGUAGGGUGUGUGAGUUAUUUAAUAAAAAGUUAAAAAAAAAAAAUCAUGGAAGGAGUACUAAGAGCAUCUCUAACAGCUUUUAUAUUAAUUCUCUAUUCUAGAUGAGGAUAUCACAAAGUCUCUAAAAGAAAAGGACCUCAACUUCAACAGCUAAUCUAUUCUAUUGUACAAAAUUAAAUAUUUUUCUGUAUAAUUUAUGAAUAUAUAUAAUUAUUAUUUAUUUAUUCAAAUCAAACCCUACCCUAAAACUCAUGUCAAAUGUUUUAAUUUUAUGACAUUUUUUGUUUUUGAGGAGAGAGAAUAAAUUCUAAAAGGCAAGUAAUAAAUUUUAGAGAUUUCUUCAUGAAUAUACAAAUUUUGAGAAUUCUAUAGAUAUAGAGGAUCUGUUUCUAUCUUUUCUCACUUUUGUAUAAUAGAAGAUGUUUUACAUGAACUUGUUAGAGCCAAAAAAUAGUGUUUUUCCUUUAAAAUAGAUAUAAUUCUAGUUUUACAUGAGCUGUUGGAGAUAUUCUAAUGGAUAGAGAAACGAACAUAUCAAGAAGACAAAAACAAUCACUCAGUGAACAUGAACAAUAAAAUAAGGAGAGACAAAGAACAUAUUAAUUGUUUAUACAGUAAAAUUUUGAUACUGAAGUAAGACUAGUACUUGAGUCGUGUUAAAAAAAGUCAGUUUAAGCGGUGCCUAAUUGCUGCCGUCCCUAGUUGGAAGAGAAAAUCAAUUAGAAUUCAUGGCGACAAUUAUGAGGUCCUAAGCGGGUUUGAGCAGUCCAUGGAAACAUCUAUAAGUCACUUCUAUGAGUUAUUUCCCUCUGUCU